UCCCAAAAUGCAGUUCGGCUAAAAGUGACGUCACCCCAUUCAAAGUGAAUGGGCAGAAGCGUUGGAAGCUUCAACGCACGCCGCUGUGUGGACGGGCCGUGAGGGAAUUGCUCGUCCUCACACGGAACAGCUGCUCCACGUUCUGAACAAGGGUGAAAACCUCAUCAGAUGGACGUUGCCUCAUUAGAUCCUCCACGUGAGCCCGGUCACAACUGGCCCUUGGCAGUCUGGUCCCUGGAGCACCUGACCCUGGCAAACUGGCCUCUUCAUAGCUGACCCCUGACUGACUGGCUCCUGGCACACUGAUCUCUGGGAAGCCAUACAUCUGGAACCCCUUCUCGGAUCGAUUAGAGCAUCCAAAUGCUGCACAUCCAACCAUGGUAUGACAACUGAUCUAUUAAAAUGCAAUAUAAACGAAAGUGCCAUAAUAUUUGUUGUGCAAACAUUUUAACAUGAAUAUUGCUAUGUCCUCUGUUCAGUCUGCUCCCAACUGUAUUCUCUCCCCUUAUUCACCACUGUUCCUAUUCUUGCUCUGCUUUUUAGGGCCCAGGAAACAGAUGAAGAGGAUGUCCCUUUCACAAAGGAACCUUUUUGUUUUUUUCCAAAUGGUUAGGCUCCUGAAUGCCCUAGAGUUCUGUAUUGCUUUUUUGUAAAUAGUAUUGCUUUUUUGUAAAUAGUUGCUUACCCUAACUUUUUUUGUAAAUAAUAUUGCUUUUUUAUAAAUAGUUGCUUUUUUGUAAAUGGUUGUUUGUAAAUAACUAUUGUUGUUCGUACAAUUAUGCUUCUGUUUUUCACUUGUUGGUGUCCAUUGUUCAGCCACUGUAUUGGUAAGCAACCAUUUGUUUUUGCCAAAAUGUGUUAUUCACACUCCUGACUCCAGUUUGAUGUGCUGCAUUCUCCUCUGAGUGGUCCUGGUUUCAGGCAGAGGUCAUGGCUUGGAAGGUUUUAUAUCCUGUAGUGCCUCAACAGAACCUAAUAUGAAUUGCUUUAUUGUCUCGUCGCUGGAUCACCUCCCCCUGGCAAAGUGGCCUCGUCAUUGACAAACCUGUUUUUGUUGCUCUGUUGAACCAUGGUUCAACAGGAGCUUCUGUAAAUAGUUUGAAUAUUUAUCAUAGUAAUCAUUUUCAGUCUCCCACUCUGUCUUAAUUUAAUUUAUCGUUUCUUUGCCCCACCAUAUGUUUUGUUGUCCAAAGGCACUCAUUUGGUCUGUGUUGAAGAUUGUUUUACACUUUAGAUUAAUCAAGAUUGUGUUUUUUGGCUGAAUUAAUAUUUUUCUGUUGAACCCUAACCCUCUUUGUUCUCCUUCUCAUUCAUUUUACUUUGUUUUGUUCUAACACACAUCAUUUUUUCCAUAUACUGUUCUUAAUACUUGUUCACACAUUUGUUCGUCCCUUUUACUUUGUUCUUCCUGUUGUUCUUGUUCAAACACAUAUAUCAAUUGUUCAUCCACUGUUGUGGUAAAAUGAUAUUCAUAGUCUUAACAUGAUCAUGCUACCCAUGCUAACAUGAACACAAGCG